rnacentral:rRNA from 1 species
UACGUAGGGUGCGAGCGUUAUUCGGAAUUACUGGGCGUAAAGCGUGCGCAGGCGGUCUGUUAAGACAGAUGUGAAAUCCCCGGGCUUAACCUGGGAACUGCAUUUGUGACUGGCAGGCUAGAGUAUGGCAGAGGGGGGUAGAAUUCCACGUGUAGCAGUGAAAUGCGUAGAGAUGUGGAGGAAUACCGAUGGCGAAGGCAGCCCCCUGGGCCAAUACUGACGCUCAUGCACGAAAGCGUGGGGAGCAAACAGG